ACGGGAGGCAGCAGUGGGGAAUAUUGGACAAUGGGGGAAACCCUGAUCCAGCGACGCCGCGUGAGUGAAGAAGUAUUUCGGUAUGUAAAGCUCUAUCAGCAAGGAAGAAAAUGACGGUACUUGACUAAGAAGCUCCGGCUAAAUACGUGCCAGCAGCCGCGGUAAUACGUAUGGAGCAAGCGUUAUCCGGAUUUACUGGGUGUAAAGGGAGCGUAGACGGCAUGGCAAGUCUGAUGUGAAAACCCGGGGCUCAACCCCGGGACUGCAUUGGAAACUGUCAGGCUAGAGUGCAGGAGAGGUAAGUGGAAUUCCUAGUGUAGCGGUGAAAUGCGUAGAUAUUAGGAGGAACACCAGUGGCGAAGGCGGCUUGCUGGACGAUAACUGACGCUGAGGCGCGAAAGCGUGGGGAGCAAACAGGAUUAGAUACCCUGGUA
rnacentral:rRNA from 1 species